ensembl:rRNA 5S_rRNA 5S ribosomal RNA
GCUUAUGGCCAUACCAACCUGGCAAUGCCAGAUCUCGUCUGAUCUCCGAAGCUAAGCAGGUUUGGGCCUGGUUAGUACUUGGAUGUGAGACCGCCUGGGAAUACCAGGUGCUGAAAAGC